rnacentral:rRNA from 1 species
AAACCAGCACCUCAAGUGGUCAGGAUGAUUAUUGGGCCUAAAGCAUCCGUAGCCGGCUCUGUAAGUUUUCGGUUAAAUCUGUACGCUUAACGUACAGGCCGCCGGGAAUACUGCAAAGCUAGGGAGUGGGAGAGGUAGACGGUACUCGGGAGGAAGUGGUAAAAUGCUUUGAUCUCUCGAUGACCACCUGUGGCGAAGGCGGUCUACCAGAACACGUCCGACGGUGAGGGAUGAAAGCUGGGGGAGCAAACCGGAUUAGAAACCCGAGUAGUCC